GAUGGGGAUGCGUUCCAUUAGUUAGUUGGCGGGGUAACGGCCCACCAAGACGACGAUGGAUAGGGGUUCUGAGAGGAAGGUCCCCCACAUUGGAACUGAGACACGGUCCAAACUCCUACGGGAGGCAGCAGUGAGGAAUAUUGGUCAAUGGACGAGAGUCUGAACCAGCCAAGUAGCGUGAAGGAUGACUGCCCUAUGGGUUGUAAACUUCUUUUAUAUGGGAAUAAAACAGGGUAUGCAUACCCUCUUGUAUGUACCAUAUGAAUAAGGAUCGGCUAACUCCGUGCCAGCAGCCGCGGUAAUACGGAGGAUCCGAGCGUUAUCCGGAUUUAUUGGGUUUAAAGGGAGCGUAGGUGGAUUGUUAAGUCAGUUGUGAAAGUUUGCGGCUCAACCGUAAAAUUGCAGUUGAAACUGGCAGUCUUGAGUACAGUAGAGGUGGGCGGAAUUCGUGGUGUAGCGGUGAAAUGCUUAGAUAUCACGAAGAACUCCGAUUGCGAAGGCAGCUCACUGGACUGCAACUGACACUGAUGCUCGAAAGUGUGGGUAUCAAACAGGAUUAGAUACCCUGGUAGUCCACACAGUAAACGAUGAAUACUCGCUGUUUGCGAUAUACAGUAA
rnacentral:rRNA from 1 species